UACGAAGGGAGCUAGCGUUGUUCGGAAUCACUGGGCGUAAAGCGCACGUAGGCGGACGUGUCAGUCAGGGGUGAAAGUCCCGGAAGCUCAACUUCGGAACUGCCUUUCGAUACAGCACGUCUUGAGUCCGGAAGAGGUGGGUGGAAUUCCUAGUGUAGAGGUGAAAUUCGUAGAUAUUAGGAAGAACACCGGUGGCGAAGGCGGCCCACUGGUCCGGUACUGACGCUGAGGUGCGAAAGCGUGGGGAGGCAA
rnacentral:rRNA from 1 species